GUGAAAUGCGGGAAAGCCAACUUUUGGAGUUGGAGGAGUCAGAGUCUCAUUCUGCGUGUGGUUGGAGGUAAAGGAGGCUGCAUAGGUAGAGCAGACCCUGAGAGCUGUCUAUGGCCCCCUGACCCUGAUGUGAGGACCAGCCGUGCAGCAGAGGCAUACUUAGGUGUACCCUGCCAUUUCCUGAGUGAAGACAGGAACAUGAGAAAAAGACGAGCAAAUCUCACCGGGGAAAUAACGCUCUGGGAUUUUGGUGGCGUAGAACAGGAAUGCAGAUCCAGCUAUGAGAUACAUCACAAUCACACGAGGGAAGAAGAGCUGCAGAAAGAAGCCGUGAAAAGGUUACAGCGAAGAUCUGGAGUCCUGACUCAAACACGAAAGA